rnacentral:rRNA from 1 species
CCUACGGGAGGCAGCAGUGAGGAAUAUUGGACAAUGGGCGCAAGCCUGAUCCAGCCAUGCCGCGUGCAGGAUGACGGUCCUAUGGAUUGUAAACUGCUUUUAUACGAGAAGAAACAUCCCGACGUGUCGGGACUUGACGGUAUCGUAAGAAUAAGGAUCGGCUAACUCCGUGCCAGCAGCCGCGGUAAUACGGAGGAUCCAAGCGUUAUCCGGAAUCAUUGGGUUUAAAGGGUCCGUAGGCGGUUUAAUAAGUCAGUGGUGAAAGCCCAUCGCUCAACGGUGGAACGGCCAUUGAUACUGUUAGACUUGAAUUAUUAGGAAGUAACUAGAAUAUGUAGUGUAGCGGUGAAAUGCUUAGAGAUUACAUGGAAUACCAAUUGCGAAGGCAGGUUACUACUAAUGGAUUGACGCUGAUGGACGAAAGCGUGGGUAGCGAACAGGAUUAGAUACCCUGGUAGUCCACGCCGUAAACGAUGGAUACUAGCUGUUGGGUGCAAACUCAGUGGCUAAGCGAAAGUGAUAAGUAUCCCACCUGGGGAGUACGUUCGCAGAAUGAAACUCAAAUGAAUUGACGG